UACGGGGGGAGCAAGCGUUGUUCGGAUUUACUGGGCGUAAAGGGCGCGUAGGCGGCCAGCACAAGUCAGUUGUGAAAUCUCCGGGCUUAACCCGGAAAGGUCAGCCGAUACUGCGGGGCUAGAGUGCAGAAGGGGCAACUGGAAUUCUCGGUGUAGCGGUGAAAUGCGUAGAUAUCGAGAGGAACACCUGCGGCGAAGGCGGGUUGCUGGGCUGACACUGACGCUGAUGUGCGAAAGCUAGGGGAGCGAACGGG
rnacentral:rRNA from 1 species